AGAGUUUGAUCCUGGCUCAGAACGAACGCUGGCGGCGUGCCUAACACAUGCAAGUCGAACGCGAAAGGGGGCAACCCCCGGUAGCGUGGCAGACGGGUGAGUAACACGUGGGUAACCUACCCGGAGGUGGGGGAUAACCCUUCGAAAGGAGGGCUAAUACCGCAUGACACCGUGAGGACCUCGGUCCUUACGAUCAAAGCUGGCCUCUGUUUACAAGCUAGCGCCACCGGAUGGGCCCGCGCCCCAUUAGCUAGUUGGUGAGGUAACGGCUCACCAAGGCGACGAUGGGUAGCCGGCCUGAGAGGGCGAUCGGCCACACUGGAACUGCGACACGGUCCAGACUCCUACGGGAGGCAGCAGUGAGGAAUAUUGCGCAAUGGGCGAAAGCCUGACGCAGCGACGCCGCGUGGAGGAUGAAGGUCUUCGGAUUGUAAACUCCUGUCGAGUGGGACGAAUGCCGUGGGGGUGAACAAUCCUCACGGUUGACGGUACCGCUGGAGGAAGCCCCGGCUAACCCCGUGCCAGCAGCCGCGGUAAUACGGAGGGGGCUAGCGUUGUUCGGAAUCAUUGGGCGUAAAGGGCGCGUAGGCGGCCGAUCAAGUCGGAGGUGAAAUCCCUCGGCUCAACUGAGGAAUUGCCUUCGAUACUGUUCGACUUGAGUCCUGGAGAGGGUAGCGGAAUUC
rnacentral:rRNA from 1 species